UUAACACAUGCAAGUCGAACGAUGAAGCCCAGCUUGCUGGGUGGAUUAGUGGCGAACGGGUGAGUAACACGUGAGUAACCUGCCCUUGACUCUGGGAUAAGCGUUGGAAACGACGUCUAAUACCGGAUACGAGCUUCCACCGCAUGGUGAGUUGCUGGAAAGAAUUUUGGUCAAGGAUGGACUCGCGGCCUAUCAGCUUGUUGGUGAGGUAACGGCUCACCAAGGCGACGACGGGUAGCCGGCCUGAGAGGGUGACCGGCCACACUGGGACUGAGACACGGCCCAGACUCCUACGGGAGGCAGCAGUGGGGAAUAUUGCACAAUGGGCGAAAGCCUGAUGCAGCAACGCCGCGUGAGGGACGACGGCCUUCGGGUUGUAAACCUCUUUUAGCAGGGAAGAAGCGAAAGUGACGGUACCUGCAGAAAAAGCACCGGCUAACUACGUGCCAGCAGCCGCGGUAAUACGUAGGGUGCAAGCGUUGUCCGGAAUUAUUGGGCGUAAAGAGCUCGUAGGCGGUUUGUCGCGUCUGCUGUGAAAUCCCGAGGCUCAACCUCGGGUCUGCAGUGGGUACGGGCAGACUAGAGUGCGGUAGGGGAGAUUGGAAUUCCUGGUGUAGCGGUGGAAUGCGCAGAUAUCAGGAGGAACACCGAUGGCGAAGGCAGAUCUCUGGGCCGCUACUGACGCUGAGGAGCGAAAGGGUGGGGAGCAAACAGGCUUAGAUACCCUGGUAGUCCACCCCGUAAACGUUGGGC
rnacentral:rRNA from 1 species